rnacentral:rRNA from 1 species
CUUGCUUUAACAAGUUCGAAUUUAGGCUUCGCGAGUGGGGUUAAGUCGUAACAAGGUAGCCGUAGGGGAAUCUGCGGCUGGAUCACCUCCU